rnacentral:rRNA from 1 species
UAAUACCAGCACCUCGAGUGGUCAGGACGUUUAUUGGGCCUAAAGCAUCCGUAGCCGGCUUUGCAAGUCUUCGGUUAAAUCCACCUGCUCAACAGAUGGGCCGCUGGAGAUACUACAAAGCUAGGGAGUGGGAGAGGCAGACGGUAUUCAGUGGGUAGGGGUAAAAUCCUCUGAUCCAUUGAGGACCACCAGUGGCGAAGGCGGUCUGCCAGAACACGUUCGACGGUGAGGGAUGAAAGCUGGGGGAGCAAACCGGAUUAGAUACCCGGGUAGUCCCAGCUGUAAACGAUGCAAACUCGGUGAUGCAUUGGCUUAUGGCCAAUGCAGUGCCGCAGGGAAGCCGUUAAGUUUGCCGCCUGGGAAGUACGGACGCAAAGUCUGAAACUCAAAUGAAUUGACGGUGUCGU